GUUAACAUAGGGUGGGGUUGUCGAGGUAUGGAACAAAGUGACAGUCUCCUGUGGGCUGGGUCAGCAAACACAGGUACACACACACACACACACACACACACACACACACACACACACACACAGAGCAACAGCAUCUCAAUGAGCACAAAGAAAACUAGGAAAAACAGUUGGGAAAGUCAAGAUCGUAGGGAUUUGUAAGCCUGGUAGCCUGGGACACUUGUUCUCAGUAAAAUGCUGCUUUAACCACAAUCUUUGCAAAUGGAAAUACUUCCUCUGAUAAACAGGUGUCGCCAAUAUAAUUUUACUACUGGACUGAGUUUAGACAGCUAAUGCUAGUCAAAUUAACAAGACAAGAAAAACGUAGCCGGAGUUUAUACAGACCUCAAACUGGACUCUGUGCCCAUUUAAAUGUUCGGAAGAGAGGAACAGUGUUCUACUGACCUGGGACAGAAACAGAACUCAAUUUCCUUAUUUUUCCCCCCUUUUGAUUUGUAACCAAAAGCGCACCACACCCUGGGACCCGCGGGCACACCCAGCACUGAGAGGUUACUUUAGAACCGGUUAUCAGUCAAUCUUGUAGCUGGCAAUGUUAUUUAUUCUCCAGGGUUAUUAAUGCUGUGACUAUGCACAGCCUGAGAAGACAGGACAGACAAUGCCCAGAAAAUCCCCAAGACAGUUUUCUAUCCAUCCCAUCCUUUGCCCCAGUGACUCUGCUCUCCCGGUGACAUCUGUGUCAUCCGGAAACGAGUCAGGACAGGAACGAGGAUCCGAGGGAGGAAAAACAAUGACGGCCUUUUAUACUAAAACCUCGGACUUUCGUCUGCCAGUCCUCUGCUCUCUGGGGAGUAGGUUUUGCGCUUAAUGCCCUUGGCCAUUCUGACUCUGGGUCAGAGCCACAGAUACUAUUUGUGAGCAUUUGAUGUGAAGCCAGGUUGGGAUUGGAGAGAGGGCUUGGAUGUUAAGAGCAUUUGCUGCCCUUGCGUAGGCCCUGAGUUCAGUUCCCAGUACCUGUGCUGGGCAUCACACAGCUGCCUGGAACUCAGAUCCAGGGGAUCUGACACCAGCUUCUAACUUCUGCCAGUACCCACGUACAUGGUGUGUUACAAAUGAGCACACACACACACACACACACACACAUACAGAGAGAGAGAGAGAGACAGAGAGACAGAGAGAUAGAGAGAGAUCAGUCCUGAGGUUGGAGAGACUGCUCAGUGGUCAACAGCACUGGUUGCCCUUGCAGAGGACCUGGUUUGAUUCCCAGCACCCACACGGUGGCUCACAGCUGUCUGUAAUUCCAGCCCCAGGGAAUCCAAUACUGUCUUUGGGCACUGUAAAUAUGUGUGUUACACAUACACACUUGCAGGUAAAGCAGCCAUACACAUAAAAUAAAAAAUUUUUUAAAUCUUUUAAUAUAACCAGAAAUUUUACAUACACUGCCAAGUAUCAUUGUAGGAUCAUAUCAGAGACAAGAGGAGGGAGAGAAAGAACAUCCAGUUUUAUUCUGUCUUGUUCUGAAGCAGGCUCUUACCUCGUAGACCAGGAUGGCCUCAGACUCAACCCUCCCUUCCUGAUGCUGCCUCCUGAGAGCUGUGUCACAGAACUCUCAACUUGAGGGCAUUCAGGGGAGAAACAAGCAUGUAGCAUGUAUGGAGGUUUGCAAGGCACUUGGAGAGCAGCUGCCUGUUCUUUAGGCCAGUGGAGAAAGCAAUGCCUGAGGAGAAGCAGGCAGGCUGAGGAGGAGCCAUUGUCCCAGAGAAAUCUCUGUGACUUGAGAGGACCCUGGGGAAAUGGACACCACUGUGGAGGGCACAGCAGUGCUGGACGCUGUGCUCCUGACCGCUGUCCCCAGCACUGUGGAGCCAUCUGCCCAUCCCAGAAGGUGGACAGUUACUUUCACAUGCUGUCGCUCACACUGUACCACCUGGGCAUUCUCUGAGAGCCCUGCAGUGUGGGGUGGAACUGUCUGUUACUGACCUAGGAAAAGGAAUGGCAGAGGUUGAGAUGCAGACAGGCUUGUGGACCGUGUGGCCAGCAAGCGAGGAUGUCACAGAAGUGUGGGUGUGUGGAGGAACAACCUCCUUACUCAACAAGCUGCAAAGCUCUGAGUCCACCUGGGGUUCAUAGACGUCUGUGAGCUCUAGGGACACCCUGGAGAUGCUGGGAAGAGGCUCGUGAAAUGAAAGGCCUCCCUGCUCAUCAGCGAGUAGAGCAGAGGAAUGCAGAAUGCAUUGCAUUCCCUCCCUGUGGAUCUACUUGGCUUGCACCCAGGCCAGUGGGCAGGAACUUGGCUAUAUAGAUGCUUAUGUGCAGGUGCAUAUGGAAUAUACAUAAAGGAAUGCGUUUGCAUGCAUUACAUAGAUAUGCAAAAAGCCUUGCAAAAGGACACCCCCUUUCACAGGGAACACAAAUUCAGACAGGUGCAGCUAUGUAUAAGUUCCCAGAGCUAAUACAGGCUCAGUCUUCAUUCAGGCCUGCUCAGUUCCAAAACUGAUUCCAUCUGGCUAAAAUUAAUCAACAAGAGUAGGGUUAGCUCUCUGAAUUAUCUCGCGGUCUCCAGCCAGUCUCUCUUUCUCUACCCCUCCCGCGUUGCUGUGAAAUCCAGGGAGCUCAUUUCAGCCGCCUCUCUGCUUCUCUGCUCUGCCCCUAAGUGAGCUCUGUUCUCCUUUAGAGCCUCCCACACAGGACGUCCGGCUCUCUCCGCGACUCCCUCAGCCAUUCGAAGACCCUCUCACAAACACAGCUGUUCACUUUUACCUAUUAUGAUCUAGGAUAAUGAAAAAAAUGGAGCUUCCUCAGUAGAUGUGGGGGAAACUAGGAAGUGAAUCCUGAGACUUUAGGCACACCAUAGAGGAAGGGAGGAAGUAACUCCUCAGACUCUAGGAACACCCUUGAGAGAGAGAGAGAGAGAGAGAGAGAGAGAGAGAGAGAGAGAGAGAGAGAGAGAGCGCAAGCUGAGCCUUCUUUGUAACGAUGGUGAAGUGGACACUGAGAGUGGGGGCUCGGGGGGUGACACGGCUUCCAGUCUACCCAGGUUGUUGGGGACACACGGAUAAGUGACCGAAGGACCCUGCCUAUGGGGCUAAUAACUCCCAACCCUCUGACGAGCUGAGAGCCUCCAGACAGAAAGCCUGCCACGCUGAUGACAUUUUCUAGGCAGGUAGGACCUAGGACGCUCCAGGU
rnacentral:lncRNA from 1 species